rnacentral:rRNA from 1 species
GCCUGAAUCAGUGUGUGUGUUAGUGGAAGCGUCUGGAAAGGCGCGCGAUACAGGGUGACAGCCCCGUACACAAAAAUGCACAUACUGUGAGCUCGAUGAGUAGGGCGGGACACGUGGUAUCCUGUCUGAAUAUGGGGGGACCAUCCUCCAAGGCUAAAUACUCCUGACUGACCGAUAGUGAACCAGUACCGUGAGGGAAAGGCGAAAAGAACCCCGGCGAGGGGAGUGAAAAAGAACCUGAAACCGUGUACGUACAAGCAGUGGGAGCACAGAGCAAUCUGUGUGACUGCGUACCUUUUGUAUAAUGGGUCAGCGACUUAUAUUCUGUAGCAAGGUUAACCGAAUAGGGGAGCCGAAGGGAAACCGAGUCUUAACUGGGCGUUAAGUUGCAGGGUAUAGACCCGAAACCCGGUGAUCUAGCCAUGGGCAGGUUGAAGGUUGGGUAACACUAACUGGAGGACCGAACCGACUAAUGUUGAAAAAUUAGCGGAUGACUUGUGGCUGGGGGUGAAAGGCCAAUCAAACCGGGAGAUAGCUGGUUCUCCCCGAAAGCUAUUUAGGUAGCGCCUCGUGAAUUCAUCUCCGGGGGUAGAGCACUGUUUCGGCAAGGGGGUCAUCCCGACUUACCAACCCGAUGCAAACUGCGAAUACCGGAGAAUGUUAUCACGGGAGACACACGGCGGGUGCUAACGUCCGUCGUGAAGAGGGAAACAACCCAGACCGCCAGCUAAGGUCCCAAAGUCAUGGUUAAGUGGGAAACGAUGUGGGAAGGCCCAGACAGCCAGGAUGUUGGCUUAGAAGCAGCCAUCAUUUAAAGAAAGCGUAAUAGCUCACUGGUCGAGUCGGCCUGCGCGGAAGAUGUAACGGGGCUAAACCAUGCACCGAAGCUGCGGCAGCGACACUAUGUGUUGUUGGGUAGGGGAGCGUUCUGUAAGCCUGUGAAGGUGUACUGUGAGGUAUGCUGGAGGUAUCAGAAGUGCGAAUGCUGACAUAAGUAACGAUAAAGCGGGUGAAAAGCCCGCUCGCCGGAAGACCAAGGGUUCCUGUCCAACGUUAAUCGGGGCAGGGUGAGUCGACCCCUAAGGCGAGGCCGAAAGGCGUAGUCGAUGGGAAACAGGUUAAUAUUCCUGUACUUGGUGUUACUGCGAAGGGGGGACGGAGAAGGCUAUGUUGGCCGGGCGACGGUUGUCCCGGUUUAAGCGUGUAGGCUGGUUUUCCAGGCAAAUCCGGAAAAUCAAGGCUGAGGCGUGAUGACGAGGCACUACGGUGCUGAAGCAACAAAUGCCCUGCUUCCAGGAAAAGCCUCUAAGCAUCAGGUAACAUCAAAUCGUACCCCAAACCGACACAGGUGGUCAGGUAGAGAAUACCAAGGCGCUUGAGAGAACUCGGGUGAAGGAACUAGGCAAAAUGGUGCCGUAACUUCGGGAGAAGGCACGCUGAUAUGUAGGUGAAGCGACUUGCUCGUGGAGCUGAAAUCAGUCGAAGAUACCAGCUGGCUGCAACUGUUUAUUAAAAACACAGCACUGUGCAAACACGAAAGUGGACGUAUACGGUGUGACGCCUGCCCGGUGCCGGAAGGUUAAUUGAUGGGGUCAGCGCAAGCGAAGCUCUUGAUCGAAGCCCCGGUAAACGGCGGCCGUAACUAUAACGGUCCUAAGGUAGCGAAAUUCCUUGUCGGGUAAGUUCCGACCUGCACGAAUGGCGUAAUGAUGGCCAGGCUGUCUCCACCCGAGACUCAGUGAAAUUGAACUCGCUGUGAAGAUGCAGUGUACCCGCGGCAAGACGGAAAGACCCCGUGAACCUUUACUAUAGCUUGACACUGAACAUUGAGCCUUGAUGUGUAGGAUAGGUGGGAGGCUUUGAAGUGUGGACGCCAGUCUGCAUGGAGCCGACCUUGAAAUACCACCCUUUAAUGUUUGAUGUUCUAACGUUGACCCGUGAUCCGGGUUGCGGACAGUGUCUGGUGGGUAGUUUGACUGGGGCGGUCUCCUCCUAAAGAGUAACGGAGGAGCACGAAGGUUGGCUAAUCCUGGUCGGACAUCAGGAGGUUAGUGCAAUGGCAUAAGCCAGCUUGACUGCGAGCGUGACGGCGCGAGCAGGUGCGAAAGCAGGUCAUAGUGAUCCGGUGGUUCUGAAUGGAAGGGCCAUCGCUCAACGGAUAAAAGGUACUCCGGGGAUAACAGGCUGAUACCGCCCAAGAGUUCAUAUCGACGGCGGUGUUUGGCACCUCGAUGUCGGCUCAUCACAUCCUGGGGCUGAAGUAGGUCCCAAGGGUAUGGCUGUUCGCCAUUUAAAGUGGUACGCGAGCUGGGUUUAGAACGUCGUGAGACAGUUCGGUCCCUAUCUGCCGUGGGCGCUGGAGAACUGAGGGGGGCUGCUCCUAGUACGAGAGGACCGGAGUGGACGCAUCACUGGUGUUCGGGUUGUCAUGCCAAUGGCACUGCCCGGUAGCUAAAUGCGGAAGAGAUAAGUGCUGAAAGCAUCUAAGCACGAAACUUGCCCCGAGAUGAGUUCUCCCUGACUCCUUGA